GGGAAGCCGAUUACAUCAAUUUCGCUGAGUUCCGGGACCACGAAGGGGAAGCCGAAGUUCUUGCCAUUUAAUGAUGAAUUGAUAAAUUCUACUAUGCAGAUUUAUAAGACCUCGUUUGCCUUCAGAAAUAAAGAAUUCCCUCUCGGGCAUGGAAAGGCUUUGCAGUUCAUUUACGGUAGCAAGAAGUUUGACUCGAAGGGGGGGCUCAUAGUAACGACAGCUACCUGUAACAUAUACCGAAGCGAAGAAUUCAAGCACACAAUGAAGGACAUCCAGUCUCAGUGUUGCAGCCCAGAUGAAGUUGUAUUCGGUCCCGACUUCCAUCAAUCUUUAUAUUGCCACCUUCUAUGUGGCUUAAUCUACGCUGACGAAGUGCAGCUUGUGUCUGCGACCUUCGCCCA
rnacentral:misc_RNA from 1 species